GAGUUUGAUCCUGGCUCAGAUUGAACGCUGGCGGCAUGCUUUACACAUGCAAGUCGAGCGGCAGCGCGGGGGCAACCCUGGCGGCGAGCGGCGAACGGGUGAGUAAUGCAUCGGAACGUGUCCCGUGGUGGGGGAUAACCCAGCGAAAGCUGGGCUAAUACCGCAUAUGCUCUGCGGAGGAAAGUGGGGGACCUGAAAGGGCCUCACGCCAUGGGAGCGGCCGAUGUCCGAUUAGCUUGUUGGUGGGGUAAUGGCUUACCAAGGCGACGAUCGGUAGCUGGUCUGAGAGGAUGAUCAGCCACACUGGGACUGAGACACGGCCCAGACUCCUACGGGAGGCAGCAGUGGGGAAUUUUGGACAAUGGGGGCAACCCUGAUCCAGCCAUGCCGCGUGCGGGAAGAAGGCCUCGG
rnacentral:rRNA from 1 species